UACAGCGAGUGACCUUGCAACUGUGC
rnacentral:piRNA from 1 species